CAUCGUUAGUUCUGGAGGUUUAUGGGCUGAUACUGGAAAGGUUUUUAUUUUGAUGCAAUACUUCAUGAUAACUUGGUUAUUAAAAGCUCUUUAAACAGCAGUUUUCACAGGUAAUCUUUUAUUUACUGGAUGGAUUUUAGUCCCACAGGGAUCUAUUUUGGGGACACCUUUUUUUCUUCUUCCUUCUUUUUUCUACAAAUGCUGCAGGUGGAUUCCAUAUCCUGCUAUAGGCUGACAACACAUUCUCGUACCCAACUAACUGGUUUUCAAAUUUUCAAUAGGACCAGAUCAAAUCUUCUUCCUGGAUUGUUCUAAGAGCAGAUCUGUCAACUCUUUUUCAUACAUAAAAACUACAAUCGCAAAGGUCAAGUCUAGAAUUGGUUUUCUUUUUCACAGCAAAUCUUCAUUUGGUUCCGGUUGAACUUGAACUCCAUCUUUUUUUAUUGUGGUGAUGGUAUUUGCAUGUCUUCUGUUAUCUGGAUGACUUUAUCACUCUACUGGACCCCCCAAAUACCCUCUCCCCACUACCAUCUGUGCUGUCUGAUAACUGACCCUCUGUUCUUUCCUGCAGACACAUUCAUUUGGAAAACUCGUUCACAUCUGCAAUCACAGCCAGAGUUCCUCCAGGGUCAUCAGUCCCAUCUUUCCAAAAGCUUCUGGUUCUAUGCUGCUGAAGACUGGAACCACUGCAGCAACUCUAAACCUUGCUGAUUGUCCUUCCCCCGAUGCUGACUACUGGACAAGUCCUCACUACAGACUUUCCUUAUGAAGGACAUCAGAUGUGAGAGCUGGAGGGCUGCAGCCCCUCCGGUGUUUCUGAACUUCCUCCAUAAGCUGCUGCCAGAAUCCUGGAUCAGAUGGGUUUAUUUCACGUCUCCUUCCAUGCCAUGAGAUGAG